UUCCUUCAGCAGUACAUUUACUAGGAUUGGAAAGAUGCAGAGAAGAUUAUUAUGGGGCCUACACAAAGAUGACAAGCAAAAUCAUGAAUCAUAUUUUUUUUUA
ensembl:snRNA U6 U6 spliceosomal RNA